rnacentral:rRNA from 1 species
AGAGUUUGAUCCUGGCUCAGGAUGAACGCUAGCGGCAGGCCUAAUACAUGCAAGGUGAACGGUAAGCGGGGUAGCAAUAUCACGCCUAGAGUACCGCAAGGGUGCGUAACACGUAUGCAAUCUGCCCUGUACAGGAGAAUAGCUCCCCGAAAGGGGAAUUAAUACUCCGUAAGAUCACACGAAGGCAUCUGAGAGUGAUUAAAACCACGGUGGUACAGGAUGAGCAUGCGGAUGAUUAGCUAGUUGGUAGUGUAACGGCCCACCAAGGCGACGAUCAGUAGCUGGUCUGAGAGGAUGAUCAGCCUCACUGGGACUGAGACACGGCCCAGACUCCUACGGGAGGCAGCAGUGGGGAAUAUUGGACAAUGGGCGCAAGCCUGAUCCAGCCAUGCCGCGUGGGUGAUGAAGGCCCUAGGGUUGUAAAGCCCUUUCGGCGGGGAAGAUAAUGACGGUACCCGCAGAAGAAGCCCCGGCUAACUUCGUGCCAGCAGCCGCGGUAA